rnacentral:rRNA from 1 species
UACGUAGGGUGCAAGCGUUAAUCGGAAUUACUGGGCGUAAAGCGUGCGCAGGCGGUUCUAUAAGUCAGAUGUGAAAUCCCCGGGCUCAACCUGGGAACUGCAUUUGUGACUGUAGAGCUGGAGUACGGUAGAGGGGGAUGGAAUUCCGGGUGUAGCAGUGAAAUGCGUAGAUAUGCGGAGGAACACCGAUGGCGAAGGCAAUCCCCUGGACCUGUACUGACGCUCAUGCACGAAAGCGUGGGGAGCAAACAGG